UACGUAGGGGGCAAGCGUUGUCCGGAAUCAUUGGGCGUAAAGAGCGUGUAGGCGGCCAGAUAAGUCCGCUGUGAAAUCUCGGGGCUCAACUUCGAGCUGUCGGUGGAAACUGUCUGGCUAGAGUCCGGAAGAGGAGAAUGGAAUUCCUGGUGUAGCGGUGAAAUGCGCAGAUAUCAGGAAGAACACCCGUGGCGAAGGCGGUUCUCUGGGACGGUACUGACGCUGAGACGCGAAAGCGUGGGGAGCGAACAGG
rnacentral:rRNA from 1 species